CUAAAAUAUGCAGGCCUAAUAAUUUCCACGAUUUCUUAUGCUUUGCCUCUCGAUAAGCGCAUGCGCACACACAGCAUACCCAUCCCCCACCCCUGACUGACUUUUCAACGAACUCCUUGCCACUGGUGGUGACUUCAACCGUCACUUUUCUGUCAUGCAUCUGACUGCAAGCUGUACAAACUCUGCUGUCAUCAUAUCCAAGGCAGUGAGUUGUGAGGACUGCUUCCCUGAGAACACUGAGUGCAUUCUGGAAUAUUCCAAAUGUGUGCCACUUCCAUACAAAAGAAGUUUCAAUCCCGCAAGAGAGUUCACUCACCAGUGGGCUCCAUCAACAGACCAGGGCAAAGUCGGUCUGUCCUGCUACUACUACAUGCUACUUGACUAUGUCUGGAAGCCAUGGCUGCUGCCCUCAACAUGCUAAACUGAAACCCUCACAAAUAAACUGAUAUCAAUAAUUAACAUUGAUGGUGAUGGUGGCGAGGGUGCCUUCAUAAGGUGUCAUCCAGCAAGUCCCAGCCUGGAGCCAGAGGCUGGCACUGCACGUCAGAUGGGGGAGGAUCUAUGUUAGGCAUCAGAAAGGUGGUUUAAGCACCUCUAAGAGCUUCUGCAGACAGUGUUGCAAUUAGACACCUGACUUUUACUGCCAAAGGGACCAUCAGAGCACCUCUCCCUACCAUCUAUACCAGAAGAGUACGGACAAGGGCCCAAAAUGUUUUAAAGGACGUUGCAAGCCCAGACCAUGAACUGUUUAAACCACUGUGGUCAAGCAGAAGUCUCUGUUCUCAC